rnacentral:rRNA from 1 species
GACAGAGGGGGCAAGCGUUGCUCGGAAUUACUGGGCGUAAAGCGCGUGUAGGCGGCCCGGUAAGUCCGCUGUGAAAGUCCAGGGCUCAACCCUGGGAUGCCGGUGGAUACUGUCGGGCUCGAGUCCGGAAGAGGCGAGUGGAAUUCCUGGUGUAACGGUGAAAUGCGCAGAUAUCAGGAGGAACACCAAUGGCGAAGGCAGCUCGCUGGGACGUGACUGACGCUGAGACGCGAAAGCGUGGGGAGCAAGCAGG